ensembl:lncRNA
UGACAAGCUGCACAUUAGCUCAAUACUCUAUAGUAAAACACACUGUGCUGUGUCUUUCAAAUGGAAUUCUAGGCUUCUAUGUAUGUAUGUUGGUCUCAGGCUGGUCUCAGGCUGGUCUCAGGCUGUUAUUAGGCUGGUCUCAGGCAGAUAUCAGGCAGGUCUCAGGCUGGUCUCAGUCUGGUCUCAGGCUGGUCUCAGGCAGAUAUCAGGCUGGUCUCAGGCAGAUAUCAGGCAGGUAUCAGGCUGGUCUCAGGCAGAUAUCAGGCUGGUCUCAGGCAGAUAUCAAGCUGGUCUCAGGCAGAUAUCAGGCUGGUCUUAGGCAGAUAUCAAGCUGGUCUCAGACUGGUCUCAGGCUGGUCUCAGGCUGUUCUCAGGCAGAUACCAGGCUGGUCUCAGGCUGGUCUCAGGCUGGUCUCAGGCUGGUAUCAGGCUGGUCUCAGGCUGGUCUCAGGCUGGUCUCAGGCAGGUAUCAGGCAGAUAUCAGGCUGGUCUCAGGCUGGUCUCUCUCUGUGUGUACAUGGAGGUCAUACUUUAAUGCUGUGUCAAUCUGUGUGUGCACUAUUGUUAGGUGUGUAUGCGUGUGUGUUCUGCAUGUGUAUGCGUGUGUGAAUGUGUGUUCUGCGUGUGUGUGUAUAUGUGUGUAUAUUCGUGGCGGUGUGUGUGUG